UAGGGCUAGCCUCAAGUGAUGAUUAUUGGGGGUAGAGCACUGUUUGGACGAGGGGCCCCUCUCGGGUUACCGAAUUCAGACAAACUCCGAAUGCCAAUUAAUUUAACUUGGGAGUCAGAACAUGGGUGAUAAGGUCCGUGUUCGAAAGGGAAACAGCCCAGACCACCAGCUAAGGUCCCAAAAUAUAUGUUAAGUGGAAAAGGAUGUGGCGUUGCCCAGACAACUAGGAUGUUGGCUUAGAAGCAGCCAUCAUUUAAAGAGUGCGUAAUAGCUCACUAGUCGAGUGACACUGCGCCGAAAAUGUAACGGGGCUAAACAUAUUACCGAAGCUGUGGAUUGUCCUUUGGACAAUGGUAGGAGAGCGUUCUAAGGGCGUCGAAGCAUGAUCGCAAGGACAUGUGGAGCACUUAGAAGUGAGAAUGCCGGUGUGAGUAGCGAAAGACGGGUGAGAAUCCCGUCCACCGAUUGACUAAGGUUUCCAGAGGAAGGCUCGUCCGCUCUGGGUUAGUCGGGUCCUAAGCUGAGGCCGCAAGGCGUAGGCGAUGGAUAACAGGUUGAUAUUCCUGUA
rnacentral:rRNA from 1 species